rnacentral:lncRNA from 1 species
GCGCAUGCGGAGACGCAAGCCUCGCCUCCUUCCGCUCUUUCUAGUAACGGUUUUGGAGAUGGUUGGUGCGCGCGGAGUCCACCUGGGUGAGAGCGCUUGGGACCUGCAGGGAAGAAAACUGUCAAAGUUCUCUACACUUUACCAAGAAGCACAGAAAAUGAAUAGGUUUCAGGUGAGUUCUUCAUUUUGUAUUUUGGAUUUAUGAAGUUUAUAGGGUUCAUAC